rnacentral:rRNA from 1 species
AUUGUUCGCAAUGGGCGCAAGCCUGACGACGCAACGCCGCGUGGAGGAUGAAGAUCUUCGGGUCGUAAACUCCUUUCGAUCGAGACGAACGGCCUCCGGGUGAACAAUCCGGGGGAGUGACGGUACCGAGAGAAGAAGCCACGGCUAACUACGUGCCAGCAGCCGCGGUAAUACGUAGGUGGCGAGCGUUGUCCGGAUUUACUGGGCGUAAAGAGCGCGCAGGCGGUCGUACAAGUCGCGUGUGAAAGCCCCCGGCUCAACUGGGGAGGGUCACGCGAUACUGUUCGACUCGAAGGCAGGAGAGGGAAGUGGAAUUCCCGGUGUAGUGGUGAAAUGCGUAGAUAUCGGGAGGAACACCAGUGGCGAAGGCGACUUCCUGGCCUGUUCUUGACGCUGAGGCGCGAAAGCUAGGGCAGCAAAC